rnacentral:misc_RNA from 1 species
CCUAGAGUUGCGGGCUUUGCCUGCCAUCUCUUACCCAUGUCUUUUGAGUACCUUACGUUUCCUCGGCGGGUCCGCCCGCCGGUUGGACAACACUUAAACCCUUUGUAGUUGCAAUCAGCGUCUGAAAAACUUUAAUAGUUA